CAGGUGGGACGACCCACCUGCGCGUCUGUAGUAUGGGGACGACCCCA
rnacentral:ncRNA from 1 species